UCUUGUUGUACUAUAAUUUAAGUUGAAGCUAGAAAACUAUAUCCUUAGAAGAGUAUAUUGUGUAAAAUGGCUUCACUUAAAGCAGAGAAACCUAUUGAGAAAUCUGGUAACUCUCAACCAUCAGGUCAGGUUAAGAAAGAACCUGCUGUCAAAACUAGUGGAACCACUCCUAAAACUAGAGUCACCAAAGCAGCAGCACCAAAGAAAACUGAGCUGAAAUCUCAGCCUAAAAAGAAGGCUAGCAGCAGUAAGCAGAAGAUACCAAAUGAAAUUUAGAUGACUUGAAAAAUAGUUGUUGGAAGUAUAUUUAUUUGAAGAAUCAAUAAGGAUACUGUUCUAUGGUGAUGUUUCAUGAAUAUUAUUAUUUAUUAGUAGUACUAUAGUAUGUACUGUGCCACUUGCUUCUGUUGUAUCAAUAGUAUUAGUAAAUACCAUGUAAACUCCAUGCCAUCUUGGCCUUAUAAAUAAAAUAUGAUUAUGAUGAGAUUGUUCAAAAAA